CGGGAACACAAGGGGGUCGCUUGUAACAAUUUAAGAACACGAGUUUUUCAGGUUCACAAGCCUGCCAGAAAGGACAGCAAAAUUAACUACCACAGUAGGAUGUAGGGAGCGUCAUCUAAUAAACAUUGAGAUAAGCAUUGUAUCCAUGUCUUUAACAGGUUGAUUGUUUGCCAAAUCAAAAGAAAAAAAGCUCAAAUUAUUCAUG
rnacentral:lncRNA from 1 species